rnacentral:sRNA from 1 species
AGCAGCCGCGGUAAUUCCAGCUCCAAUAGCGUAUAUUAAAGUUGUUGCAGUUAAAAAGCUCGUAGUUGAAUUUCGGGGUUAGUAGGUUGGUCAUGCCUCUGGUAUGUACUGAUCUCACUGAUUCCUCCUUCCUGAUGAACCGUAAUGCCAUUAAUUUGGUGUUGCGGGGAAUUUGGACUGUUACUUUGAAAAAUUAGAGUGUUUAAAGCAAGCUAACGCUUGAAUACAUUAGCAUGGAAUAAUGAAAUAGGACGUUCGAUCCUAUUUUGUUGGUUUCUAGGAUUGACGUAAUGAUUAAUAGGGAUAGUUGGGGGCAUUAGUAUUCAAUUGUCAGAGGUGAAAUUCUUGGAUUUAUUGAAGACUAACUACUGCGAAAGCAUUUGCCAAGGAUGUUUUCAUUAAUCAAGAACGAAAGUUAGGGGAUCGAAGACGAUCAGAUACCGUCGUAGUCUUAACCAUAAACUAUGCCGACUAGGGAUCGGAUGAUGUUAAUUUUUAAUGACUCAUUCGGCGC